AUCACAUGAUUUUCCUAAUGAUGUGAUCGAGUUAUCAAGUGACAACACUUGCAUAUAUCCACGAAACCUUGACUACUAUCAUUGAUCAACUAGUUAGCCAACUAGAGGCUUGCUAGAAAUAUUGUUUUGUCUAUGUAUCCACACAUGUAUCUAUAUUUUCAUUAAAUAUAAUUAUAGCAUGAAUAAUAAAUAAUUAUUUUUAAACAUAAAAUAUAAUAAUAACUAUUUAUCAGUGCCUCUAGGACAUAUUUCCAAUAAUUAUCACAUGCACUCAACCAAUCCUUACGAUGUAACUUGUGUACUACCGUCGCUAGAUGUAACUUCUGUACUACCGUCGCUAGUACACAUGUCGUGGUAAUAUAUACGGUAUCAGAUGUCAAAACAAGAGUGUGUUCGUUUGUGAAAUAGUGCAGCUGCACUAUUAUAAGCAUUUGGGAUAGAAUAUUGCUGCGUACAUACUGUACGAGCUGUAGACUUUCUUAUUUAUUUUGUAAUAGGUCGUCUGGCAUACACCCCGCUCACGGCACCACAACAGAGAAGUGACCACCAGCUCAAGCUAUAAGAUAACGUAGGCACCACACGCCCGCGGCGCAACCGGUACGUAGCCCUUUAUUUACGUACGUAUACGUACAGAGCAUGGCCACUUAACCAGAGGGCACGCGGCAGUAUGCCGAUGCGUGCGUUCGUGAGCGCGCGGGCGCGCGACCGACCGGCGGCUAUCCGCCGGCCACUUCACUUCCACUUCCUGCCACCGUGCCCGUGCUUGCCGCCGCCCAUGUGCUUCCCGCCGGAGUAGCCGUGCCCGCCGCCGUGCCCGGUGUGGUACGACCCCAUGUGGCCACCUGCGAGCAAAAGUAUGUAUCUUUACCUAAUAAUAAAGAGGUUAUCGCUUCCGUCGAAAAACCCAUUGAGGUGAUUUUAUAAAAAAGUCCUUACUGUUUAUGACAUUAAACUCGUAGUAUAUAUUAAAUAUUUUUUAAAAUACUUAUAUUUUUUAAACCGCAACUUCAAAUUUAACAUAUUAUACAUAGAAUUUGAUUAGAAAAAUAUGUAGAAUUUAAAUACGAUAUAUCUGUUAAACGUUUAAUAAAAAUAUUAUAUAGGGUGCAAUCUUAAUAAAUAAGUCAUUAUUCGUCUUUCUUUCAUACCGGCACUCAUCCGGGUUGGGGAUGAACACGUCAACAAAAUCAGGAUUAGAGAUGAAACUGAAUGUCACUUGACUGAUUCUUUGUACGUAUUAAAUCUACAUGCAAGCCGUGUUAAAAUAACCUGUGAAAUUUUGAACUGCAUUUUUGUAGGAUAAGACCAUCUUUAUUUGUAUCGUAACUAUAAAUUCUCAAAUUAUAGACUUUUUUAUAAAUUAAGAGCGUAUGCCGUGUGGUAUUUUCUUUCUCCCGUUACAACGCUUGGACCCUUUUGCUAGUGCGUUCAAAAACAGUAUGUAUCACACGUACUGCUCCCAGCUCGAACUUUGGUAUAGUCACGUACCGUGGUGUGGCGCGGGCUGCGCGGGGUAGCCGCCGCCGUAGCCGCCGUACGGGGGGCAAGCCCCGGCGGCGGGCGGAGGGUACCCGUGCUGCCCGUGGCCGCCGUACCCCUGCUGCUGCCCAUGGCCGCCGUACCCGUGCUGCUGCACAUGGCCGCCGCCGUACCCGUGCUGCUGCCCGUGGCCGCCGUAGCCUUGGUCGCAGCCGUACCCCUGGCCGCCGUACCCGUGCUGCCCGUGGCCUUUGCCGCCGCCGACAAGGCUGGACACGAAGCCCUUCACGCCGCCGUUGUGGCCGCCGUGCAUGUCGUGGCCGCCGCCCAUGGUCGCUUGCUUGCUUUGGCCGAUCGAGCAAGUGAAGUUGUUUGGUGUCGCUCGAUGAUGUGCUCAGUAUGUCGAGGCCUGCGUCCCCUUUUAUAGCCGCUUGUUCCGCGGCCCCUUUGGACGUGUGUCGACCGAUCGCAUGUACGCGAGUCGAC
rnacentral:lncRNA from 1 species